UUGUAAAAAAUUCAACGUUGAUUUAGAAGUGUUUCUGCCUUUUAACGUAUUAUUAUGAUAAUUAAUUAGCAUUUAAUGAUUUUUUGAUCAUAACAGCUCUUCAAUGUAUAUGUUAAAAUACAAUUAUUAUCAUUAUUAACAAUAAUAGUUUCACCCUCAAGAGAGCAGUGCAGCAGAAACCUUUUGCCUUAUGUGAUUUUGUGUGAAUUUACAAUUUUGUCCGCUUGCCUAACAGUUUACAUUGCAUUAUUACAUUUGUAUUCAUACACUGUCAUGUCAUUUGACCAAUUAAUUAAAUAAUAAUACAGACUGCAAAUAAAACUUAAUACACAGCUGCGUUAACUCGCGCAAACUAUUGCUAUUGUUAUUGGUUGUUUCGCCGUUUUACUUUGAGCAUGAUUGGUUAAUCUGUCUGUUUUACAGGAAACUGUCCAAUGAGAAUGUGCGCGGCUCUGCGCGCCUAUUUUAAAUUUGAAAAUAUGUCCGUUAAUCUCGGUCGGAGCAGCUGCUUUGCGUUGAUUACUCGGUCAGACCUGGAUUAUUUUAUAUCUGCCUGUUGAAUUCUUACAUUUUGAGCGAAUUUUAGUUGAUAUGACAAUGAAGAUCAAAAGCUGGAAUGUGAACAGAGGAAGGGGUCGUACGUGGUCUGUAAAUACUGGCGAUAUCAGAUCAAGCUUUGUAAUAAGAUUUUUAUCGGGGGAGAACACCCAACAGAAAGACCCAUGAUUCACCAACUGGCGCACUGAAAGGGGAGAUUCAUGUCACCUU